rnacentral:rRNA from 1 species
GAUGAACGCUGGCGGCGUGCCUAAUACAUGCAAGUCGAGCGAACAGAUGAGGAGCUUGCUCCUCUGACGUUAGCGGCGGACGGGUGAGUAACACGUGGAUAACCUACCUAUAAGACUGGGAUAACUUCGGGAAACCGGAGCUAAUACCGGAUAAUAUAUUGAACCGCAUGGUUCAAUAGUGAAAGACGGUUUUGCUGUCACUUAUAGAUGGAUCCGCGCCGCAUUAGCUAGUUGGUAAGGUAACGGCUUACCAAGGCAACGAUGCGUAGCCGACCUGAUAGGGUGAUCGGCCACACUGGAACUGAGACACGGUCCAUACUCCUACGGGAGGCAGCAGUAGGGAAUCUUCCGCAAUGGGCGAAAGCAUGACGGAGCAACGCCGCGUGAGUGAUGAAGGUCUUCGGAUCGUAAAACUCUGUUAUUAGGGAAGAACAAAUGUGUAAGUAACUAUGCACGUCUUGACGGUACCUAAUCAGAAAGCCACGGCUAACUACGUG